CACGUAGGAGGCGAGCGUUAUCCGGAUUUACUGGGUGUAAAGCGCGUGCAGGCGGUUUGAUAAGUUGGAUGUGAAAGCUCCCGGCUCAACUGGGAGAGGUCGUUCAAAACUAUCAGACUAGAGGAUGAUAGAGGAAGAUGGAAUUCCCGGUGUAGUGGUGAAAUGCGUAGAUAUCGGGAGGAACACCAGUGGCGAAGGCGGUCUUCUGGCUCAUUUCUGACGCUAAGACGCGAAAGCUAGGGUAGCAAACGGGAUUAGAUACCCCCGUA
rnacentral:rRNA from 1 species